rnacentral:rRNA from 1 species
UUCGAUGAUACGCGAGGAACCUUACCUGGGCGUCGAACGUAAGAUGACUGUAGGUGAAAGCUUACAUCUCUUCGGAGCAUUUUACGAGGUGCUGCAUGGUUGUCGUCAGCUCGUGCCGUGAGGUGUCGGGUUAAGUCCCAUAACGAGCGCAACCCCUACCUUUAGUUGCCAUCAGGUUAAGCUGGGGACUCUAAAGGAACUGCCUACGCAAGUAGUGAGGAAGGCGGGGAUGACGUCAAAUCAGCACGGCCCUUACGUCCAGGGCUACACACGUGCUACAAUGGCCGAUACAGAGGGCAGCUACCUGGUGACAGGAUGCAAAUCUCCAAAGUCGGUCUCAGUUCGGAUCGGAGUCUGCAACCCGACUCCGUGAAGUUGGAUUCGCUAGUAAUCGCGCAUCAGCCAUGGCGCGGUGAAUACGUUCCCGGGCCUU